GGGUGACUGCGUACCUUUUGUAUAAUGGGUCAGCGACUUAUAUUCUGUAGCAAGGUUAACCGUAUAGGGGAGCCGCAGGGAAACCGAGUCUUAACUGGGCGUUAAGUUGCAGGGUAUAGACCCGAAACCCGGUGAUCUAGCCAUGGGCAGGUUGAAGGUUGGGUAACACUAACUGGAGGACCGAACCGACUAAUGUUGAAAAAUUAGCGGAUGACUUGUGGCUGGGGGUGAAAGGCCAAUCAAACCGGGAGAUAGCUGGUUCUCCCCGAAAGCUAUUUAGGUAGCGCCUCGUGAACUCAUCUUCGGGGGUAGAGCACUGUUUCGGCUAGGGGGUCAUCCCGACUUACCAACCCGAUGCAAACUACGAAUACCGAAGAAUGUUAUCACGGGAGACACACGGCGGGUGCUAACGUCCGUCGUGAAGAGGGAAACAACCCAGACCGCCAGCUAAGGUCCCAAAGUCAUGGUUAAGUGGGAAACGAUGUGGGAAGGCCCAGACAGCCAGGAUGUUGGCUUAGAAGCAGCCAUCAUUUAAAGAAAGCGUAAUAGCUCACUGGUCGAGUCGGCCUGCGCGGAAGAUGUAACGGGGCUAAACCAUGCACCGAAGCUGCGGCAGCGACACUAUGUGUUGUUGGGUAGGGGAGCGUUCUGUAAGCCGUUGAAGGUGGCCUGUGAGGGUUGCUGGAGGUAUCAGAAGUGCGAAUGCUGACAUAAGUAACGAUAAUGCGGGUGAAAAACCCGCACGCCGGAAGACCAAGGGUUCCUGUCCAACGUUAAUCGGGGCAGGGUGAGUCGACCCCUAAGGCGAGGCCGAAAGGCGUAGUCGAUGGGAAACAGGUUAAUAUUCCUGUACUCGGUGUUACUGCGAAGGGGGGACGGAGAAGGCUAUGUUGGCCGGGCGACGGUUGUCCCGGUUUAAGCAUGUAGGCGGAUGUUCCAGGUAAAUCCGGAACGU
rnacentral:rRNA from 2 species